rnacentral:tRNA from 2 species
GCUGGCGUAGCUCAAUAGGCAGAGCAACUGACUUGUAAUCAGUAGGUUGGGGGUUCGAUUCCUCUCGCCAGCUCCA